GAAUUNACACGACUGCUCGCNUAAUGUCAUCUAAGCAUGUGGCACGUUGUAUCAUGGNCUCAGCACUGNACGCUCGUCUGUGUACAGCCUAACACAUGCAAGUCGAACGGCAGCACAGGAGAGCUUGCUCUCUGGGUGGCGAGUGGCGGACGGGUGAGGAAUACAUCGGAAUCUACUCUGUCGUGGGGGAUAACGUAGGGAAACUUACGCUAAUACCGCAUACGACCUACGGGUGAAAGCAGGGGAUCUUCGGACCUUGCGCGAUUGAAUGAGCCGAUGUCGGAUUAGCUAGUUGGCGGGGUAAAGGCCCACCAAGGCGACGAUCCGUAGCUGGUCUGAGAGGAUGAUCAGCCACACUGGAACUGAGACACGGUCCAGACUCCUACGGGAGGCAGCAGUGGGGAAUAUUGGACAAUGGGCGCAAGCCUGAUCCAGCCAUACCGCGUGGGUGAAGAAGGCCUUCGGGUUGUAAAGCCCUUUUGUUGGGAAAGAAAUCCAGCCGGCUAAUACCUGGUUGGGAUGACGGUACCCAAAGAAUAAGCACCGGCUAACUUCGUGC
rnacentral:rRNA from 1 species